rfam:Stegodyphus mimosarum contig75208, whole genome shotgun sequence.
GCCUUCGUGGUGUAGUGGGCAGUACGCUCGACUCGUAACCGAGAGGUCCAAAGUUCGAUUCCCGGCCAAGGCG